UGUCCAGGGAUGGCGAAUCGAACCAACAGUAUUCUGAUACCGGGCAGAUGCCAUGUCUACUAGGCUAUCCUGGAC